CUACGGGUGGCUCCAGUGAGGAAUAUUGCACAAUGGGCGAAAGCCUGAUGCAGCAACGCCGCGUGGGUGAUGAAGGCCUUCGGGUUGUAAAACCCUUUUCUGGGGGACGAGGAAGGACGGUACCUCAGGAAUAAGCCUCGGCUAACUACGUGCCAGCAGCCGCGGUAAAACGUAGGAGGCGAGCGUUAUUCGGAUUUACUGGGCGUAAAGCGCGUGCAGGCGGUUCUGUAAGUUGGAGGUUAAAUCUCUCGGCUCAACUGAGAGGCGUCCUUCAAAACUGCAGGGCUUGAGGAUGGGAGAGGGAAGUGGAAUUCCCGGUGUAGUGGUGGAAUGCGUAGAUAUCGGGAGGAACACCAGUGGCGAAGGCGGCUUCCUGGCCCAUACCUGACGCUAAGACGCGAAAGCGUGGGGAGCGAACGGGAUUAGAUACCCGGGUAGUC
rnacentral:rRNA from 1 species